rnacentral:lncRNA from 1 species
UGCUGAGUUAAUACUAGUCGGGUCUUUUGAUGUCUUCUGUGCUUUCUUUUUGCUUUUUGAGUCUACUGAAACCGCAGUACUUGUGCGGUUUCCUCUAUCGGUCGUCCAGCUAUUUUUUAGUACUGCAUCUGUAAAACCAUAUGUGAUCCUAGUACCCUGUUCUUCCCAAUUCUCGAUGCUUGGUGCAGUCUUAACCUUCUCAAUAUUCAGUUUGAGCGAUAAGGUAGUGCUGUUUCUGUCAGUGCAGGUUUGGCAAUUACUCGAUGUUUGCUACCCUGUUGUUCCCAAUUCAUAAUGCUUGUUGCAGUCUAAGGGGUUGUUUGGUUUGUGACUAACUUUAGCAAAGAUUAUCACACCUAAUGUUAGGCAAGUUUGACCCUUAGAUAAGUGUUUGUUCGAGCCACAGUUGUGUUCCAUAUGGCAUACACACAAAAAGCAUGGCAAUAUUUUCUUAGGCCGCUAACUUGUGGCUUUCAUUUUGAUGAAUGAACUAAUCUUAGAUAAACUUGGCAAAAUAUGUCAAUGCUAGGCCUAGAACCAAACAGCUCCUAAAUCUCUUCAAUAUCGAGUUUCAGUGAUAAUGUAUUGUGAUUAUUGUCGCUCCAGGUUUGGCAAUCACUCGUGCAUUAAAAUAUCAGGCUGAAUUUGCUUGGACACUAUCAGCUUUUUGUAAGUAAUUGACAGAAAUUCUCAUUAGCGGCCUAUUGCGGACCACAGAAGUUAUGUAGGUGAAAACUCAAGUUUUGGAUUUUUCAAAAACCACCUCCAUGGAGCUUGGCCUUCAAAAGAAUUUUCAAAAGCUAACUAUAUAAAAAUAAAAAGACAAACCGCUUGUAGCCAGAUUCAGAUUGUGCAACCGUUAGAGAAAGCUGCAGGCGGGUUCCGUUCUGUCCUGAUGUCCGAGAAGCUGUGUCUUCUCUCUCUCUAUCUCUUUUGUUGUUGCGAAAGCAAAGCCUUCUCUGCUUUCGGUGCCAGUUGAGAAUAUUCGCGCUAUCGGAUUGGACUUUGCUGAGAUUCAUGCUGGUAUAGGGUACUAAAGCGUCCAUCCAGCACAGAUGCUGAUGCAAAGCGAGCAACUUUUCCGAGGAGGUUGCCCUCCUCCUUCCAUUCCCUCGCAGUUUAUUUUGACUAAAUGACUGCUCCUUCCAUCAAUAUAAAUAGGGUCUAAUGUGCUUUUUAAGAUUGCCUUUGACUAUUGAUAAGAUUUUUUUUUAAGACAUACCAUAGCUUUAUAGAAGGGAGAAAAGUAUUUACAAGAGAUUAUAUUUCGCUAGGUAGGCAUCACACACCGCCGUACCAUAGCCUUCACACACAACCCUAGCCAACUACUCACAAGAAGUAGCUACUCCGGUAGUCCCGGCCCUAGUCCACAUUUCAAGCUCUUGCCAGACUAGGUCCUCUGUGUCCCCUUCGUUCUGUAAAUCCGUUCGUGCAAACACCCCGCCGUUGCGUUGUUUUCAUAAGUUCCAGCAUAUCGACGUGACCACGGAGUCAAAACCCUUUUGAUGCAUUUUAGGCAUGCGCUUCCUCGCUCCCGACCACCAUUCUCCAAUUCUAUCUUGUGCCGAGGGACAAAGCGCCAGAUCAAUCCCCAUUCGGACAAAACACAUGUACCAGACUUGUCAAGAGAAGACACACUGCAUCGUGAUGUGGUCCACCGUGUCUUCCUCUUGCUCACAUAGAAAACACGGUGAUUUCUCCUCCUGCAACCCAUGUCUCCAUCUCCUGUCCGACGUCCAAAGUCUGUACUGGAUUGCGAGCCACAUGAAACAAUUUGCAAACUAGUGGAGCCCAACACUUCCAAAUAGCAGAAAAUGCUGGAAUCUAACCCCACCAAUACACAUCAUGCUAUAUGCAGAUGAGGCCGUGUAUUUUCCUUCCCUGUUCCAGUCCCAAACAGGCUUAUCCUGCGUGUCUGGGACCACUUGCACCUCCAUCAGAAUCUCGCACAACCUAAUGAAUUGUGCCAACCCAUCCGUGUCAAGCUCACCGCUAAUAUCCUCCAUCCAGGCCUGCAUCCAUAAUGCAUCCUUUACACAUCUUUUAUUGGCAAUUUGUGUUCUGACACGACCGAAAACCCGUGGCGUCAGUUCCUGAAUUGUUGUCCCAUUGAUCCAACGAUCCGUCCAGAAAAACACCUUUGUGCCAGCACCCAAUUGCCACUUCACCAGACUGCCGAACGCCGCACAAACCUGUUUAUCUGGUCUCCAAUUCAGACCCUGCCAUAGCCUAGACUCGUCAGUUCUCCAUAACCAUGCCCAUCUCAACCUUAGGGCAAUUCCUUGCUUGCAAAGGUCAAUGACACCCAGCCCUCCCAGCUCUUUAGGCCAGCAAACUCUAUUCCAGGAUACCAAGCAUCUGCCCCCAUGCACCUGUUCUGACCCGGCCCAAAAAAAUGCUCGACAUCCUUUAUCAAUACUGUCAAGUGCCCACUUGGGAGCCUCUGCAACAAUGAGAUAGUGCGUCGCCCUAGCUCUCAUGACUUGGUUCACCAAGAUCAGCCUCCCUGGCCGUGUCACCAGUCCUCGUUACCAUCCUGGGAGAAUGUGCAACGCUGCAUCUACCAUAGGUUGCCACUCCGAUCGCUUAAGCUGCUUGAUGCUCAACUGUAAGCCGAGGUACUUACACGGAAAGGACUCCAUCUUCCAUGGCAGACCAUCCCGGACUAACUGCUCAUCUUCCGGAUCAGCCCUGAUCAUAAUUGAGGCAGACUUCGCAUAGUUGAUUUUCAAACCUGAGGCUUCGCCAAAAAUGCCAAGCACUUCUCUCACAAAGUGCAAGUCUGAUAUGUUUGGCUUGAUAAACAAGACCACAUCAUCCGCACAUAAGGACAAUCUCUGCAAUGGGGUGCAUCUAUUCAUUUUACUAAAAACCUCCGAGUCAUGCGCCUUGAUCACAAUGUUCGUGAGAACAUCCAUGGCAAUGACAAAAAGCAAGGGUGAAAUUGAAUCCCCUUGUCUUAAACCCUUUGCAUGCAUGAACUUGGCUCCCACCGAACCAUUCACAAUCACUCCUGAGCUAGCCGAGGUAAGAAGAGUGGCAACCCAAGCAAUCCAACGUUCCGAGAACCCUUUUGCUCUCAACACUUCAAAAAGAAAA